UAAUAAGUGUUUUAUGGCACUUUUUAAAUCCAUAUCCACCUUGUGUGCAAUGUCAGUCGAUCUUCUUCAUGGAGAUCGGACCCAAACAUCAACCUUUAUCUUUUAACUCUUUGUCUGAAAAAUAUUAUGAAUAAACAUUCAAAAUA
rnacentral:misc_RNA from 1 species